rnacentral:rRNA from 1 species
GACGAACGCUGGCGGCGCGCUUAACACAUGCAAGUCGAGCGAGAACCGAGGCUUCGACCUCGGAGACAGCGGCGAACGGGUGAGUAACACGUGGAUAACCUGCCCUCGGCACCGGGAUAGCCCGGGGAAACCCGGAUUAAUACCGGAUGGCCCUUCCGGCUUCAGAGCCGGCUGGAAAAGGUAGCUUCGGUCUCCGGCCGAGGAUGGGUCCGCGGCGGAUUAGCUUGUUGGUGGGGUAAUGGCCUACCAAGGCUCCGAUCCGUAGCUGGUCUGAGAGGACGAUCAGCCACACUGGGACUGAGACACGGCCCAGACUCCUACGGGAGGCAGCAGUGGGGAAUCUUGCGCAAUGGGCGAAAGCCUGACGCAGCGACGCCGCGUGAGGGAAGAAGGCCUUCGGGUUGUAAACCUCUUUCAGCAGGGACGAAGCUACUCGGGUGAACAGCCCAGAGGGUGACGGUACCUGCAGAAGAAGCCCCGGCUAACUACGUGCCAGCAGCCGCAGUAA